rnacentral:rRNA from 1 species
GACGAACGCUGGCGGCAUGCCUAAUACAUGCAAGUCGAACGAGUCUCCGUUAACUGAAGUGCUUGCACGGAUGCUAACAUCGAGACGAGUGGCGAACUGGUGAGUAACACGUGGGAAACCUGCCCAGAAGAAGGGGAUAACACUUGGAAACAGGUGCUAAUACCGUAUAACAACUUGGACCGCAUGGUCCGAGUUUGAAAGAUGGCUCCGGCUAUCACUUCUGGAUGGUCCCGCGGCGCAUUAGCUAGAUGGCGGUGUAAUGGACCACCAUGGCAAUGAUGCGUAGCCGACCUGAGAGGGUAAUCGGCCACAUUGGGACUGAGACACGGCCCAGACUCCUACGGGAGGCAGCAGUAGGGAAUCUUCCACAAUGGGCGCAAGCCUGAUGGAGCAACGCCGCGUGAAUGAAGAAGGUCUUCGGAUCGUAAAGUUCUGUUAUUAGAGAAGAACACGUGUAAGAGUAACUGAUUAUGCGUUGACGGUAUCUAAUCAGCAAGUCACGGCUAACUACGUGCCAGCAGCCGCAGUAACAC